rnacentral:rRNA from 1 species
UGACGACGUCAAGUCAUCAUGGCCCUUACGGGAUGGGCUACACACGUGCUACAAUGGCAAGUACAGAGGGCAGCAAUACCGCGAGGUGGAGCGAAUCCCACAAAGCUUGUCGUAGUCCGGAUUGGAGUCUGCAACUCGACUCCAUGAAGUCGGAAUCGCUAGUAAUCGUAGAUCAGAAUGCUACGGUGAAUACGUUCCCGGGCCUUGUACACACCGCCCGUCACACCAUGGGAGUGGGAUGCAAAAGAAGUGGCUAGUUUAACCUUCGGGAGGACGGUCACCACUUUGUGUUUCAUGACUGGGGUGAAGUCGUAACAAGGUAGCCGUA